UACGUAGGGUGCGAGCGUUAAUCGGAAUUACUGGGCGUAAAGCGUGCGCAGGCGGUUCGUUGUGUCUGAUGUGAAAGCCCCGGGCUCAACCUGGGAAUGGCAUUGGAAACUGGCGAGCUAGAGUGUGGCAGAGGGGGGUGGAAUUCCGCGUGUAGCAGUGAAAUGCGUAGAGAUGUGGAGGAACACCGAUGGCGAAGGCAGCCCCCUGGGCUGAGAUUGACGCUCAGGCACGAAAGCGUGGGGAGCAAACAGG
rnacentral:rRNA from 1 species